rnacentral:rRNA from 1 species
CCUACGGGAGGCAGCAGUGAGGAAUAUUGGACAAUGGCCGAGAGGCUGAUCCAGCCAUGCCGCGUGCGGGAGGACGGCCCUAUGGGUUGUAAACCGCUUUUGUCAGGGGGCAAUAAGGGUCACGUGUGGCCCGAUGAGAGUACCUGGCGAAUAAGCAUCGGCUAACUCCGUGCCAGCAGCCGCGGUAAU